rnacentral:rRNA from 1 species
CCCUUAGAUGUUCUGGGCCGCACACGCGCUACACUGAAGGAGGCAGCGUGUACUCCUGGAUCGAAAGAUUUGGGUAACCCGCGAAUCUCCUUCGUGCUAGGGAUUGAGGUUUGCAAUUAUCCUUCAUGAACGAGGAAUUCCCAGUAAGUGCAAGUCAUAAGCUUGCGCUGACUACGUCCCUGCCCUUUGUACACACCGCCCGUCGCUCCUACCGAUGAAUUGUCCGGUGAAGUUCAUGGAGAGCUGUUUCACUGAGAUGUGCUUAAAGCGAGAUGAACCUAGCGGUUUAGAGGAAGGAGAAGUCGUAACA